AAGACCCUAACUGGCCCAUAAGAAACCUUUUUUUAAAAACAAGUGGGUGAUUGGAUAGACGUGACUUGGGUCAUGCUGCAGACACAGUUCACCUGCUCGUGGGUCAACCGCACCCCCGGCAGAGAUGGAGGGAAUACCCCCCCCCACUUGUUGCUGCGGAGGAGAGGACACAAAAAAAGGCCGAAAAAUCCUGCCGCCUAUAGCUCAGAUCCUGCAUGUUGGGAUAAAAUUGAUGAAUACAUGAGGGCAUGUUGGAUUAAAAUAGGACCUAAAAGUUGCCAGAACAAAGACGCAGAUGUUGCUGCCUCUGAAAGACAAUAAACACCAAAAGAGGGGGGCUGACCACCUUAAUCCGCCCAUGGCCGCCACAUUCUCAGGUCUGAAUAAUUAACUUGCCAAACGCUUCCAGUGCUGCCGGUUUAUCUGACAUCCUUCCAACAACGGGGAGCAAUACUCCGACAUGCCAGCCAACGUCUGUGAGAGUGAAGAAAAUAUUUCAAUUAACAAGGGGAAAUUCAAUGAGAAUUGUUUUUAAAUACAAAAUUAAUUCAUCUUUCCAGCAAGCGGGAAAUAAUAAGAUGAAUGUCCACCAUUGGCAGCUAUUCAUUUAGUACAGUGGUUUCCAGAAAAAAACUAGUCACCGCAAGUUAUAUGGGUUGAAUUACCUCAUAUAACUGAAUGCAGAUAGCAUCAAUGAAGGACACCUGCAUGCUGGGAAUCUUAUCUCUUUUCUCACGAUUCAUCAGGUCCUGAAGUAAAGGGAUAAAAAAAAGAAAUUGCAUGAAAAGAGUGCAAAAAUUAUGACACUUUAAAGCCUCUGAACACCCACACAGUUUCACUUAUUCUGGCUGAUUAGACCUCUGCUCAGGUUUAAGGAGGGCUGGAGUUUAGAUGGGAAUUUAUUAGGUCACAAAUCUUUUCUACCAAUAAGAAUGAUAAAGGUGCUAUUUGUCCUGCCGUAACAAGUGCAACAAAGCUAACAAGAGGUUCAGA